rnacentral:rRNA from 1 species
UACGGGGGGAGCAAGCGUUGUUCGGAUUUACUGGGCGUAAAGGGCGCGUAGGCGGUCAGCACAAGUCAGUUGUGAAAUCUCCGGGCUUAACUCGGAAAGGUCAACUGAUACUGUGCGACUAGAGUGCAGAAGGGGCAACUGGAAUUCUCGGUGUAGCGGUGAAAUGCGUAGAUAUCGAGAGGAACACCUGCGGCGAAGGCGGGUUGCUGGGCUGACACUGACGCUGAUGCGCGAAAGCCAGGGGAGCGAACCGG